rnacentral:rRNA from 1 species
UGACCGCUGGCGGCGUGCCUACUACAUGCAAGUCGAGCGAACAGAUAAGGAGCUUGCUCCUUUGACGUUAGCGGCGGACGGGUGAGUAACACGUGGGUAACCUACCUAUAAGACUGGGAUAACUUCGGGAAACCGGAGCUAAUACCGGAUAACAUUUGGAACCGCAUGGUUCUAAAGUGAAAGAUGGUUUUGCUAUCACUUAUAGAUGGACCCGCGCCGUAUUAGCUAGUUGGUAAGGUAACGGCUUACCAAGGCGACGAUACGUAGCCGACCUGAGAGGGUGAUCGGCCACACUGGAACUGAGACACGGUCCAGACUCCUACGGGAGGCAGCAGUAGGGAAUCUUCCGCAAUGGGCGAAAGCCUGACGGAGCAACGCCGCGUGAGUGAUGAAGGGUUUCGGCUCGUAAAACUCUGUUAUUAGGGAAGAACAAACGUGUAAGUAACUGUGCACGUCUUGACGGUACCUAAUCAGAAAGCCACGGCUAACUACGUG